rnacentral:rRNA from 3 species
AACUUUCAACAACGGAUCUCUUGGCUCUCGCAUCGAUGAAGAACGCAGCGAAAUGCGAUACGUAAUGUGAAUUGCAGAAUUCAGUGAAUCAUCGAAUCUUUGAACGCACCUUGCGCCCCUUGGCAUUCCGAGGGGCACACCCGUUUGAGUGUC